ACUGUCCGCAGAGUGGGCACAGCAUACAGAAGUGAGACGUCUCUAAGGACAUGCUUUUUGGGUGGCGAGUUCAAUUCCCAGCGCCCACGUGGAGGCUCAUUAGCAGCUGUAACUGUAUUCUCAUGUAAGUCCUGUGGAAUCCGAUGCCCUCUUCUGGUAUGCAAACACGAAUGGGAACAAAAUAUCCAACAUAUACAAAUGCAUAAGCAAAUAAACGUUAAGAAAAGAGAAAUUAACUUCACUAGAGCUGAGUUCGUGGACAGAAGUGCUGAAUUACACCCGGGCCUCAGGAGAAGCUAUGGAGUUGAGAGGAACGGAGGACUAGAGAAUGAAGUGGUUCUAAAGAAGAGUUUCUGGCUUAGCAAAUAAACGACAAGUAGCCCAGUUAAAGAAAGCCCGGAAUUCCCAGUCUUGGAAGAUCCACUGGUGCGUAGAGCUUUCUCCGGGUCUUUGUUGGCUUUGCCACCUGAGGUAAGACUCACCUGUUUGUGUAGAGCCUUGUCUGUGGGAGAUCUGCUAUCCCGAGUUCUCCAGGAGUUACUCCAGCCAAAGUGUGUGUGUGUCCACAGCUGAGUCUUGUGGAAAGUGCCUUUGGACUUCAUUCUGACAGGCUCUUGGCAAUCCUUGGGGUUGAAUUUCCAGGAAGUUCCUCAGAAGUGCCUUCUUCUCCAGCUGCUACUUGCUCAGUUCAGGAAAACUGUGCCCCAAAGAGAGGGUUAGCUAGUCAUGUUGAGUGGUGGUAGAUCAGACAUGGGGAGGACAGGAGGCUAGAGAGGAAAGCUGUGUUCACCAGUUACCGCUUUAACAUUUCCCUCAAGGGCUGCACCAGGUCUGAGCCCUGCGUGUCUGGCUUUUGGCGGAGGCUGCUGCACUGAAACCUGUUUUGAUAGGAAAAAGAGCAGUUUCCUAUCCCAUUCUGCUUGGAACAGCUCAUCCCGUGAUGGAAUGGGAAGGGGGUUGAGGGAUAGAGAAAGGGAGGCUGAGAAUAGGAAAGAAAGUUGCUAGCAAGAGAAGCACAGCCUCUACAAAAUUGUGGAAGAUGAGCUAUCUAUUAUCUAUCUAUCUAUCUAUCUAUCUAUCUAUCUAUCUAUCUAUCUAUCUAUCUAUCUAUCUAUCUAUCUAUCUAUCUAUCCCAUCCAUCCAUCCACCCACCAUCCAUCUGCACACUGUCAAUUACAUGGCUAGGGCUGUUAGGUAAGAUAUGGGUUGACCAGAAACUGUCCCUGGGCUUAUUCUUCCAACCUAUCCUAAGAUGAUCUAGGCUGGUAUUGAUCUGUUGCUUAAAGCAGCAACAUUCCUCAGCCAAUGAGCUUCAAGAGGAGGAGCAUA
rnacentral:sRNA from 1 species